AGAGUAAUCCAAAACUUGCAAAUUCAUCAAACUCUCUCAAUAGUCAAUAGCAUCAUUACACAUAGAAAUCCUACUCUCGCCGGGCCGGAAACUGUUGCCGGAGAUCACCAAGCUUUCUUCGGUGACAAGAACAACUGGAAGAUCAUUCUACUUUCUGGAAAUACUUAAGAAAUGGAGAUGGAACAAGAGUUAGAGUGGCUUGAAGCGCAGAAGAUAGCGAUAAGUGUGGACCUUUUGGCUGCAGCCAAGCAGCAGCUUCAGUUUCUUGCAGCUGUUAAUAAGAAUCGUUGGCUCUAUGAAGGCCCUACUCUUGAAUGGGCCAUCUAUAGGUACAAUGCUUGUUGGCUUCCCUUGCUUGCCAAACACUCUGAGUCACCAGUUUCUGAAGGGCCACUGGUUGUGCCUCUUGAUAGCGAGUGGGUUUGGCAUUGCCAUAGGCUGAAUCCAGUAAGGUACAAAACUGAUUGUGAGGAACUUUUUGGAAGGAUACUGGACAAUUCUAAUGUUGCAUCUUCUGUUAAAGGAGUCUGCAGAAAGCAAACUCAAGAAAUUUGGAAAAAGUUGUAUCCAGAUGAGCCUUAUGACUUUGACUUGACCAGAGCCUUAUCUGCAGCUACCAAUGAAAAACUUUUGGCAACUGAAAAAUGCACCAAAUAUGAUUUGGUUUCAGCAGUUAAAAGGCAGAGUCCUUUCUAUUAUCAGGUGUGCAGACCUCAUAUGAACUAUGAUAUUUUUCUUGAAGAAGCUGUGGCCAGAUAUAAGGGGUUUUUGCAUCUAAUUAAGAGAAAUAAGGAACGAUCCAUAAACCGCUUUUGUGUUCCAACUUAUGACAUUGAUCUUAUCUGGCACACACACCAGCUGCAUCCUAUUUCUUAUUGUAAAGAUUUGAUUGAAGCACUUGGCAAGAUAUUAGAGCAUGAUGACAUGGAUUCGGACAGGACUAAAGGAAAGAAGCUAGAUGUUGGGUUUUCUGGAACUAACAAGCAGUGGGAAGAGACAUUUGGGACAAGGUAUUGGAAGGCAGGUGCAAUGUAUAGAGGCAGGGAACCAUCUCCUCUCACAAGAGUUCCAUUCCUGCCAACUCUCUUGAGAAAAGAUGUACUAGCAUCACAUGAAUGUCAAAAGAUGAUUCAACUUCCAGAAGUGAAAAUUGUGGAGGUCCUUUUGGAGAUUGUGGGAGUUAAAAACUUACCAGAGGGGCACAAGGGAUGCCUUCUUGUCAGAUUUAGUAAAAAGCAGCCUGAUGUAUUCUUCAAUGCUAAGCAGAAAAUAACUAUUCUGUCAGAAUCUGAAGAAAAACAGGUUGCUUCUUUCCAGUGUGAACCUAAGGGAGAGCUGUUCUUUGAACUUAUUUCACAUUCAUCUUCCAACUUACUAGUAAACAAGGCAUUUAGAACAAUGGGUACUGCUUCAUUAUCUUUGCAAGACUAUCUGAAUCCAGUUUCUAAACUUUCAAUUGAAAAAUGGGUGGAAUUGCAGCCCAGUUCUGGCAAUUUGAGCUCAAAGCCGAUCUGCCUACGAAUUGCUGUCUCAUUGACUGUUCCCAUCCAAUCACCAUAUGUACUUCACAUGGUUCGUUCAAAAUCACUUUCAAAAACUUGUUUUUUCCCUCUUUCUGGAAGGGUUCAACAUGCUAAAGUUUGGACACACAUCACUGAUGAAAAUGAUGCGGAGGUCAUCAGCCUGCAAAUGAGGGACUCGACAGUGGCAAAGACAACCGACAAGAGCAUGCUUAAGAAGCAAGUAGUUGGUUCUAUGAAAUCUGGUGAGAUACGUGUACUGGCAGAGUUUACGAGGACUCAUUGGUCAUUAAUGGAUUCUCAGUGGUGCCUUCAGUUUAAAACAAAAUCUGAUGAAGAUGGUCAUUACUGUGAUCUCAUUGGCAGCAGGACGGUAAUCAUCUUUUGCCUAUCACCUGUUUUCUUUUAGAAUCAUUUUCUGUGUAUUAUAAAGUAUUCUUAUUCAUAAAUGAGCUUUUUGAUUACAGUUAAUUUUGUCCAUUUGGUUGUAAAUCAUGCUUGUUACUUUAUAUCAUGAAAAUCUCUCCAAGUAGGUUGUUCAAUUGACCCAGAAGCUUGAGAUUUGCAUAUUACAUUGCAUAGUUUUCUCCUCAACGUUGAUAAGGUUUGCAUUUUCUGAUUGUCACCUUAAUUGAUUUGGCUUAUGCACACCUCUACAACUUUGCUUAAUUAUUUUUUUAACUUUCUUUGGCUAUAGAUUCUUUUAUCGUUUCAGUUCAGGUGCCCAGCAGAUCAUUCAUUAUAUCUAUUUUCUUGGUACAGAUAAAAGUUUUUCAUGGCAGAAAGCUGGAUUUUGAGCCCAAACGCUGUGAGAAGCAAAGAAAUGAACAAGAUUUUGUCACCGCGGUUGAAUUUUCUGCAGAGGAUCCAUAUGGUAAAGCAGUGGCAUUGCUCGACUUGAAGUCUGGGUCUGUCAAGGUGAAAGAAGAAUGGUUGGUGUUGCCUGCAAUCAUUUCAGCUUUUAUACUUGCUGAUAUUUUGAAAAAUAAAGGGAAUAGGGGCUUCAUUAUUAACAGUGAAAAUUUGGAGUUGGAUGGUAAUGUUGAAGAGGUCAGUGGGUUAAAUGAAGAAACCAAACAAAAGACUACCGCAAAAAGCAAAGAGGAGGUGAAUGUGGAUGACAUAAAGAGUGGAGGCUGUGGAGGUGGUUGCGGUGGUGCAUGUGGAAACAUGGAAAGAAAAGUGGAGUUGAAUGUGGAUGAAAUAAAGAGUGGAGGCUGUGGUGGUGGUUGUGGUGGUGGAUGUGGAAACAUGGUAAAAAGUGGGAGCUGUGGGGGUGGCUGUGGUGGCUGUGGCGGCGGUUGUGGUGGGGGAUGUGGAAGUAUGGUAAAGAGUGGUGGCUGUGGUAGUGGA
rnacentral:misc_RNA from 1 species